UCCUGUAUUUGAAUCAUUUACUUCCUGUUUGAAGCCUUUUGCCAGAUGCAGCCUAAAAGGAUACCAACCUUAAUAUUCACUUUGAAAAUAAUGAUUAUUGGUUCUUGCUAAUUACAAUUAAAUUGAUUGCCUCAAAAAACAAUAAUACAGGACCUCGAUGGAAGCUACAGUGGACAAAAGGAGAAGAAAAGGAAAACUCCUGCCCAUUGUGGUGCGGCCAUUUUAUCAGCAAACAUCAACUGAGCACGUUUGUGAAACUGGAAGAAUACAAAUCGGCUAGCCACACCAAGCUAGCAAGAUGCCUCCAAGAGCCCAUCACCGAGCUUGAUCCAGGAAGAAGUCGCCACCCGAGUCUCCCUUUUUCUCUCUCCUACUUCAUCAUCUUCCUUCCUCCCCUCACACCCCCGCCGCCCCCCGACAAGAAAAUGAUGAAAAUCUUCCUUCUUCUCGUUGUACGAGAGCGCAUGCGCGGCAAAAGAGAGAGAGAGCGAGAAAUGAAAACAUUAGUAGUGUCCCACCUCAAAAAAAAAAAAAAAAUACAGGGAACACUUGAAAUCGAAUGUACUCCUACAUAAUAAUGAAAAAAGUGAAUAUCGAAGUGUUUAAGUGUUACAUUUAUUAAACUUAUCGGCAAUUAA